rnacentral:rRNA from 1 species
AGCUCCAAUAGCGUAUAUUAAAGUUGUUGCAGUUAAAAAGCUCGUAGUUGGAUUUCGGAACCGGCCGAUUGGUCCGUCCUCUGGAUCGUGUACUGAUCGGUCUGUUCUUCUUCGCGAAGACCGCGUGUGCCCUUAACUGGGUGGGCGCGGGAUUCGCGACGUUUACUUUGAAAAAAUUAGAGUGUUCAAAGCAGGCAGUCGCUUGAAUAUCUCAGCAUGGAAUAAUAGAAUAGGACUUUGGUCUUAUUUUGUUGGUUUCCGAGACCGAAGUAAUGAUUAAUAGGGACAGUUGGGGGCAUUCGUAUUUCAUUGUCAGAGGUGAAAUUCUUGGAUUUAUGAAAGACGAACUUCUGCGAAAGCAUUUGCCAAGGAUGUUUUCAUUAAUCAAGAACGAAAGUAC